GUAGGGUGCGAGCGUUAAUCGGAAUUACUGGGCGUAAAGCGUGCGCAGGCGGUUUUGUAAGCCAGAUGUGAAAUCCCCGGGCUUAACCUGGGAAUGGCAUUUGGGACUGCAAGGCUGGAGUUUGGCAGAGGAGACUGGAAUUCCUGGUGUAGCAGUGAAAUGCGUAGAUAUCAGGAGGAAUACCGAUGGCGAAGGCAGGUCUCUGGGCUAUAACUGACGCUCAUGCACGAAAGCGUGGGGAGCAAACAGGAUUAGAUACCCUGGUAGUCCACGCCCUAAACGAUGUCGACUGGUUGUUGGGGGUUUGACACUCUCAGUAACGAAGCUAACGCGCGAAGUCGACCGCCUGGGGAGUACGGCCGCAAGGUUA
rnacentral:rRNA from 1 species